AUUGAACGCUGGCGGAAUGCUUUACACAUGCAAGUCGAACGGUAGAGGGGGCAACCCCUCGAGAGUGGCGAACGGGUGAGUAAUAUAUCGGAACGUGCCCAGUCGUGGGGGAUAACGUAGCGAAAGUUACGAUAAUACCGCAUACGAUCUAAGGAUGAAAGCGGGGGAUUGCAAGACCUCGCGCGAUUGGAACGGCCGAUAUCAGAUUAGGUAGUUGGUGGGGUAAAGGCUCACCAAGCCAACGAUUUGUAGCUGGUUUGAGAGGACGACCAGCCACACUGGAACUGAGACACGGUCCAGACUCCUACGGGAGGCAGCAGUGGGGAAUUUUGGACAAUGGACGCAAGUCUGAUCCAGCCAUUCCGCGUGCAGGAUGAAGGCCCUCGGGUUGUAAACUGCUUUUGUACGGAACGAAAAGGUCUCUCUUAAUACGGGGGACUCAUGACGGUACCGUAAGAAUAAGCACCGGCUAACUACGUGCCAGCCGCCGCCGUAA
rnacentral:rRNA from 1 species